rnacentral:misc_RNA from 1 species
GCAUGCCUGUUCGAGCGUCAUUUCAAACUCAAGCCCAGCUUGGUAUUGGACCCGGGUCUGGGGACCGGUCCGCAACCCGUCAGCGGUGUUAUUUCACUUUAGGCGUAGCAAGUUUUCGCUGAGAGUGUUUUAUAAUAGCUCGCUAAUAAAACCAUCACAAGUUUGACCUCGGAUCAGGUAGGGAUACCCGCUGAACUUAA